rnacentral:rRNA from 1 species
CAGUCGCCGCGGGAAUACGGAGGGUGCAAGCGUUAUCCGGAUUUAUUGGGUUUAAAGGGUCCGUAGGCGGACUUAUAAGUCAGUGGUGAAAGCCUGUCGCUUAACGAUAGAACUGCCAUUGAUACUGUAAGUCUUGAGUAUAUUUGAGGUAGCUGGAAUAAGUAGUGUAGCGGUGAAAUGCAUAGAUAUUACUUAGAACACCAAUUGCGAAGGCAGGUUACCAAGAUAUAACUGACGCUGAGGGACGAAAGCGUGGGUAGCGAACAGGAUUAGAUACCCCUGUAGUCCCUGUCUCUUAUAA